rnacentral:rRNA from 1 species
CCUUGACAUACUAAGAACUUUCCAGAGAUGGAUUGGUGCCUUCGGGAACUUAGAUACAGGUGCUGCAUGGCUGUCGUCAGCUCGUGUCGUGAGAUGUUGGGUUAAGUCCCGNAACGAGCGCAACCCUUUUCCUUAUUUGCCAGCGGGUCAUGCCGGGAACUUUAAGGAUACUGCCAGUGACAAACUGGAGGAAGGCGGGGACGACGUCAAGUCAUCAUGGCCCUUACGGCCAGGGCUACACACGCGCUACAAUGGUCGGUACAAAGGGUUGCUACCUCGCGAGAGGAUGCUAAUCUCAAAAAGCCGAUCGUAGUCCGGAUCGCAGUCUGCAACUCGACUGCGUGAAGUCGGAAUCGCUAGUAAUCGCGGAUCAGAGUGCCGCGGUGAAUACGUUCCCGGGCCUUGUACACACCGCCCGUCACACCAUGGGAGUUUGUUGCACCAGAAGUAGGUAGUCUAACCGCAAGGAGGACGCUUACCACGGUGUGGCCGAUGACUGGGGUGAAGUCGUAACAAGGUAAGCGUAGAUGA